GGAUGUGACAGAGAUCGGGCUGGAAUAUCUGUCACCCCACUGAUCACCAGGGUUAUCCAACUGAACUGGCUGGGUAAGUGGGUGUCCCCUUUCACCCUCACUGCUCCAUCUGUGUCCUUUCCGAAGCUGCAUGCUCAGUUGAAAAAGACAAUCUUCCCCAUUAGAGGAGGACCAUUCUUUAGUCAAGGGUAUGUGAGUAGCUGUCCUUCCCUGCUAGAACUUCCAAACAAGCUCUCAAAGUCCAUUUGAAAUACUACCAGCAAUGAUGAGAGCUCCUAUUGCUCCAUAUCCUCUUCAGAAUUUGUGAUUUUCAGCUGUCUAGU
rnacentral:snRNA from 1 species